CGGGGCGUGGCGCAGUUUGGCUAGCGCGCAUCGUUCGGGACGAUGAGGCCGGAGGUUCAAAUCCUCUCGCCCCGACCA
rnacentral:tRNA from 1 species